AUAUUGUUUACAGUUUCUAUUACAUUGGGUCUCUGCUGUUCAUAGUCAAAGUUCAUUCUAAUAAAAAAGGAGAAUAAGUGAACUCUGGAUUGGGAAUUAGAAGAUCUGAGUUCUAGUUCCAUUUCUUCAACCCAUACUCACAUCCAUGUGAGUGAAACAAGAAAUAGUCUUUGCUUUGCACUCCCUGGUACCUAUUUUAAGCUUCCAAAGAGGUUUGCCCCUUGGGAACUCUCAGUUCUGCUCAGAGAUCUACGUGUUUCUAGUCCAAGGCAGUGGUGGGAGCAGGAUGCCCAGGGAAGGAGCGGGGUGGGGGCUGGUCUCUGCCUGAGUUUAUCUCAGGUGUUACCCUGUCAAGGAGGCCAUCGAGGUACAAAUGGUACCCAGAUGUGUGGGAGGAUUCUGUAUGAGAGGGAUAGCAGUCCUCGAUAACUGCUAAAUAGUAUCACACGUAGAGCACGCCUGUCCUUAAACUGCCUUAUCUCCUUCCUGCCAAACCACGCCAAGCGUAUCCAUAAAAGUGCAAACAACUCAUUCCUCUCUUCCCCUCAGAACAUCCUCAGCAGCUGCACAGUUGUUAUGUAUUUUUAAAAAAGCAUUUAAAACCUCUCAGAAUUUAGCAACAAUCACCAUGGAUACUCAUCACUGAAAUCCUUUGUUACCAUGGCAACAUUCCACCCUUCACCCCCCCAACCCCCCAUCCCCAUCUUGCCUGUUUACCCUGAAACUGACACAUUGGUUAUGGUGAAUGAUAGGAAAAGAUUUGAGUGGAACUUCCAAGGGCAUAGAAACAUGAAAUGUCUUGCCAGAAAAUAGGGUCUGCCGUUGGAGGGGGUCUUCAAGAGGACGUGACUGCCGCUUGAUCCUCCAGUUGGACCUGGGCAACCAGAGGCUGCUCACUGCCUCCCCUGUCCUUGGAAUGUACCCUCUGCCCACCAUGUCCACAGUGGGGGCCGUUUCCAAAGACGCGGCCCUAAGAGAGCAACGUGGUGCUAAGGUCAUCUGGACACUAUGUGUCACCAAGCCUGUCUUUGUGCCCUCCACUGGCCUGGAGGACAUUAUAACAAACCUAGAUGCCCUUACUAAAAUUGACCUACAAGACUUCAGGGAGAGCCAACAAAUCCUGUCCUCGCCAACAUGAAAACGUCUUCAAUGAGAAAGGUUGUCCUCUGAACUAGGACAGCCUUGGACAUUCUCAAUGCCUUGCAAGGAGGCACUGGUGCCAUUAUCUGAAUAGAAUGUUGUGUGUUUAUAUCCAAGGAGACUGCUAACAUAAUCAUCUUUAUUAAAUCACACCAGGACACUUAUAAUCCCCAGAGCGAUCUGACCCCAGCCUAGGGGCCUUAAUCAACCAGUGGCUCAGAUCAUGGGGCUCUCCCUGAAAAGAAUGGUUACUUAUUUUGGAAAUCAUUAUCAUGAUCUGUGUUUUCUAGGUGCCUGUAUGGAUUGCUGUGGGAUCUGGCCCCUAUGUGGCCAGAUAGCCGCCAACGAGCCACCUCCAUGCUAGCAAAUUCUCUUGCUGACUGCUCCAGACACCCUGUGAGAAAGGCAGCGGAUGGGGAACGGUCACGGUCACAGUCACGAGAUGAGUAGAACGCUGACACCCGGGGUGGCUGAAUCAUUUGCUCUAGGUCACAUGACUGGAAAUGAACAGGUCUGGAUUCAAACCCAGUGCUGCCUUUUCUGUACAUGUCUAGGAGUAGGGCUGCUGAGUCACAUGUGUUGACCGUCAACUCACAUUUUCCCAAGACAGCCACGAAAUCAAACAGAACAGAUUCUGCAGGACACACUUGGCCACCAUUCUCUGGUUUACAUCACUUGUCUUAAAGAGGAAGGGAAUGAGCUGGUUUCCACGCUGGGAAGAUCUUGUGUUCCAUUUGAGCUUUGGUGCAGGGCUGUCGUGCGGAAUGCAAGCAGACAGCGCCAGCGGCUAACACUACCCAGUUCCUAAUGGGUGCCAGACACUGUUCUAGGCGCUGUACCUAAAUAAAA